rnacentral:lncRNA from 1 species
UUUAUGUAAGAUACCAUUGUAAGGUAUCAAUGUGAGGUGAUAUCUAAGAAAAGGGAUGAGUGUCAUAGUUGGUAUCCAUAGUAUAUGUGUUGUCGUAUUUUGCACGACAAUUGUAAUAGUAAAGUUGGUAUUUGGAAAUUGCAUUGAGUGUAUUUCGUGGCGACUUAGAAUGGGUAGGGUGGAGUGGACCUAUUUUGGGGGCAUCACAGUAAGGGUAGGCUAAUUACCAGGAUUACUUUGUUUUCUUACAUUUGCUCAUUUGUCCUCAAAUAGGAUAAGAAAUAGCAGAAAAAGGUACCAAUUUGAUUGAUUCAAAAGUCAAAUUUUUUUCACAUCAUUAUGUUCAGCAUGGAUUAAUACUAACAUUUUCUAUGUUGAAUAUUUUUUAUCAAGGCAUAUGAGCAUGCAUAUUCACUAUUAUGUGUUUAGACGCAUUUCAUAUGAUAAGUCAUUUUCCAACCGAUAGAAAUUAGAAAAAAAGACAUACAUACGUUACCAGGACUAUAAAGCCCCCAAACUUGGGUACUUGAAACCCGAACUCGGUGCUUUACGAUACCAUUUCUAUGAGCGGAAUUGUAGCAUCCCCGAAUCCGGGUCCUAAAUCGCCGCGGAUUCGGUUCGCUAAUCUUUCUAUUACUAAUCAUUCUAUAACUGUUUGCGGAAGAUAUAAACAUAAAUUGUUUAUACAUUACAUUACACACUAUUCCCCAAGGUCGAGUAACCUUUACUUGAAUACAAUACCUUCAAUAUCUUAGAAGAUUUACAAUACUAUUUUCAUCAGAAAAUUUAAUAAAUUUAACUACAACAUAAAGAAACUUUGCACUUUGUCUUUGCCUCUGCCCUUAUUCAAGCCUUCAUCUUAAUCUGAAAAUUUUAUCAUGAUAUAGCAAGGGUGAGCAACAAAUUUGCCCAGCAAGUUUUACAUACAAAGGAGAUAUAUCAUGAUUGAAAAGAAUGGAUAAGCUUUUAAGUUUUCAACAAUAUAAUAAUUGUGAAAUAACAUGAAUCAAUUUUUUUUUUCUUGAAUGACUGAACCAAUAAUAAUGGAUGUCAACAAUUAACAUGAACAAGUUUAACUGAAACAUAUGGUAAUGAAGGUGAUCAGCCUUUCAUACCUGAUGAACAUAUACAACAUGCACAAN